rnacentral:rRNA from 1 species
UACGUAGGUGGCAAGCGUUGUCCGGAUUUACUGGGCGUAAAGAGCGCGCAGGCGGUCGUUCAAGUCGCGUGUGAAAGCCCCCGGCUCAACUGGGGAGGGUCACGCGAUACUGAUCGACUCGAAGGCAGGAGAGGGAAGUGGAAUUCCUGGUGUAGCGGUGAAAUGCGCAGAUAUCAGGAGGAACACCAAUGGCGAAGGCAGCACUCUGGGACGUGACUGACGCUGAGACGCGAAAGCGUGGGGAGCAAACAGG